AUGGCCGAACCCCAAAACAAAGAGCUGCAAGCUGAGAUCAAGCGCACUAAUGAAGAGAUGCGGUUGUUUCAGACUGAAAUCCUUGAGCGUAUGGAACGAUUAGAAGCUGGUAACACAUCAAAGUUUAAUGAUAUCCAUGCAGCGCUUGACAUCCUCAUUCAGCAGACACCGUCGAAGCAUCGCCAUGGUGCAGAACUCAACAACAGGCCUCCGUUUCAGAUUAACUAUUGCAUCUGUGCAUCUGGAUAA